rnacentral:rRNA from 1 species
UACGAAGGGGGCUAGCGUUGUUCGGAUUUACUGGGCGUAAAGCGCACGUAGGCGGAUCGUUAAGUCGGGGGUGAAAUCCUGGAGCUCAACUCCAAAACUGCCUUCGAUACUGGCGAUCUAGAGUCCGGAAGAGGUGAGUGGAACUCCUAGUGUAGAGGUGGAAUUCGUAGAUAUUAGGAAGAACACCAGUGGCGAAGGCGGCUCACUGGUCCGGUACUGACGCUGAGGUGCGAAAGCGUGGGGAGCAACAGG